rnacentral:rRNA from 1 species
GCCCUAAACCAAGCCUAAACUUUCCCCCCCCCCUAUAUCAUCAACCUUCCCCCAACCAUAAAAUAAAACAUUUCAUCUUCUUAGUAGAGGCGAUCAAAAAGUUUAUUAGAGCUUCACAUUUAGUACCGCAAGGGAAUGGUGAAAUAGAUUUGAAACAGUCUUAAAGCACAACAAAGCAGAGA